rnacentral:rRNA from 1 species
AGUGAACGCUGGCGGCAGGCCUAACACAUGCAAGUCGAACGGCAGCACAGUGGAGCUUGCUCCAUGGGUGGCGAGUGGCGGACGGGUGAGGAAUACAUCGGAAUCUGCCCAGUCGUGGGGGAUAACAUAGGGAAACUUAUGCUAAUACCGCAUACGACCUACGGGUGAAAGCGGGGGAUCGCAAGACCUCGCGCGAUUGGAUGAGCCGAUGUCCGAUUAGCUAGUUGGCGGGGUAAUGGCCCACCAAGGCGACGAUCGGUAGCUGGUCUGAGAGGAUGAUCAGCCACACUGGAACUGAGACACGGUCCAGACUCCUACGGGAGGCAGCAGUGGGGAAUAUUGGACAAUGGGCGCAAGCCUGAUCCAGCCAUGCCGCGUGGGUGAAGAAGGCCUUCGGGUUGUAAAGCCCUUUUGUCCGGAAAGAAACGCCUCGGAUUAAUACUCUGGGGUAAUGACGGUACCGGAAGAAUAAGCACCGGCUAACUUCGUGCCAGCCGCCGCCGUAAUAC